rnacentral:rRNA from 1 species
AUUGAACGCUGGCGGCAUGCCUUACACAUGCAAGUCGAACGGCAGCGGACCUUCGGGUGCCGGCGAGUGGCGAACGGGUGAGUAAUAUAUCGGAACGUACCUUUCAGUGGGGGAUAACGUAGCGAAAGUUACGCUAAUACCGCAUAUUCUGUGAGCAGGAAAGCAGGGGAUCGCAAGACCUUGCGCUGAUUGAGCGGCCGAUAUCAGAUUAGCUAGUUGGUGAGGUAAAGGCUCACCAAGGCGACGAUCUGUAGCGGGUCUGAGAGGAUGAUCCGCCACACUGGAACUGAGACACGGUCCAGACUCCUACGGGAGGCAGCAGUGGGGAAUUUUGGACAAUGGGCGAAAGCCUGAUCCAGCAAUGCCGCGUGAGUGAUGAAGGCCUUAGGGUUGUAAAGCUCUUUUACCAGGGAUGAUAAUGACAGUACCUGGAGAAUAAGCUCCGGCUAACUCCGUGCCAGCAGCCGCGG